GUGCCAGCCGCCGCGGUAAGACAGAGGGGGCAAGCGUUGCUCGGAAUCACUGGGCGUAAAGGGCGCGUAGGCGGGAUGGCAAGUCGGUCGUGAAAUCCUUCGGCUCAACCGAAGAACGUCGGCCGAUACUGCCGUUCUUGAGGGAUGCAGAGGAGAUUGGAAUUCCCGGUGUAGCGGUGAAAUGUGUAGAGAUCGGGAGGAACACCGGUGGCGAAGGCGGGUCUCUGGGCAUCUCCUGACGCUGAGGCGCGAAAGCGUGGGGAGCAAACGGGAGGAUAUACCACAGGAUUAC
rnacentral:rRNA from 1 species